rnacentral:rRNA from 1 species
CCUACGGGAGACAGCAGUGGGGAAUAUUGGACAAUGGAGGGAACCCUGAUCCAGCGACGCAGCGUGAGUGAAGAAGUAUUUCGGUAUGUAAAGCUCUAUCAGCAGGGGAGAAAAUGACGGUACGUGAUUAAGAAGCCCCGGCUAACUACGUGCCAGCAGCCGCGGUAAUACGUAGGGGGCAGGGGUUAUCCGGAUUUACUGGGUGUAAAGGGGGCGUAGACGGCAGCACAAGUCUGGAGUGAAAUGCCGGGGCUUAACCCCGGAACUGCUUUGGAAACUGUGCAGCUAGAGUGCAGGAGAGGUAAGUGGAAUUCCUAGUGUAGCGGUGAAAUGCGUAGAUAUUAGGCGGAACACCAGUGGCGAAGGCGGCUUACUGGACUGUAACUGACGUUGAGGCUCGAAAGCGUGGGGAGCAAACAGGAUUAGAUACCCUAGUAGUC